rnacentral:lncRNA from 1 species
GGGGAUCCUGGGGAGCUGUGGCUCAGACCUCUGGUUUCUGCGCCUCCUCACUCUCCAAACCCAACCUCGAGGUUCCCCCGCCGCUGCGCACCCUGGGAAGCCCUUUCUCACCAGGAGCUCUCACCCCAAUAUCAUUCUCUCCCUCCUCCUCCAACUCCUCCGAGCCCAGGUCCGACAUGGUCUCGCCCCAGCCUGGAUCACAGCCGCAGCGCCUCUAGCAGGAGGGCCUGAGCGGGUUCUGUGCCUGGCUGCCCACCGGCUCUCUGACCUGGACCUCGCCGUCGCUGGCCCCUGAAAUCCAUCACUUUUGUCGGCUGUUCUGUGACGCCACAACGAGGAGCCACCUGGGCUCUGCUGACCCUUCGGGAUUCGCGGCUAGCUGUGAUGUGUCCGCCAAGAUCUCUUCUCUUGUCUGUAAACAACUUCACUCUCAAGGAGGCAGCUCUGGCCUCUCAGCAGGUGCGGCCUACAGUGAUGUCCGUCCGGGUUUUACAUCCUUCCCCGACCUCGACAUGAGUCCCAGCCCCCUCGGGCCUCUGACUCUCAGGUGUCCCCUACGAUCGCCGUCCUCUCCUCUCGCUCCUGGCUCCCCUACACUGUCACACACCCACACAAUCACAGACGCACACGCAUGUACACGUGCAGGCUUGGAAAUCUGCUUUACCUGACGCACUCCGCCUGCCGAAGGCCCCUCACAUCUCCCAUUUCCUCUGCCAUCAUCCCAGACUGCAAAGCUGUGUUAUUUGUUGUUGCUGCAGGAGCUGGGGAGGAGUGACUGAAUAACUAUAGGAUUUGGUCUUGAUGGGAGAAUCCCAGAAGCCAAAUCCACGCGGUGAAUAAGCUGCUGAUCUUCCAGAGCACACAUCCCCUAGAGAUUCUUCCCAAUGCUAAUAUGAAAGGUUACAACCAUAACCCAUCAUCAGGCCCAAAUAUAUUACUUACUGAAUAAAUACACAAGUUACAACAACACACGAGAUUCCAAAAUUAUGUCGUUUUUUAGAUGCAAAGAUAAAAAUGUUGUAAACACCAAAAUUUAACAGCUUUUCUUAUGGGGAAAAGUGGGGAGUUAGGGAUAACAGAUGAUUAUUAUUUUCUUCUCUACAUAUUGGCAGUUACCCAGUUACUACAAUUAAGCAUGUCCUAUUUUUAUAAUAAAAUGCCAGAAGCAUUUUAAAUGUUAGAAAUCUAGAAUGGUAACAUAAGUAUAUGCAAAUAAAUACUCGUUUUUUACAUUUAAAAUGUCAGAAAUUUAGCUUUCAAAUUUGUCCUAACAAUGACAGUAACCAGUGUUUACUAAGUUCUGACACUGUGUGUGGGCACUGUUUUAAGAAUUUUAUGAGUUAUCUUAUUAAAUCCUCACUAUCAUUCCUCCAUUGAACAUCUAAGGAAAGGGAGUUAUAGGGGGUUAUAAACUAAAAAUAACCUCCUAAGCCCCACCACAGCCAACUGAAUGGACCCCUCUUGGCCAAGAGGGCCCCAGAAACCUUAAAAACUGCGUUCUCAGCCAUGAUGGGAAGGGAGGUCGAACAUGCCUCACUAAUACCCUUGUGCAGUUUAGACACAACAACUAACAAGCAUUAAUGUUAAAAUAGAGAUCAUAAGACUGACAGAAUGGACGCUGUGGCAGUAAGAUACCAACUUACAAACAGGACCUAAGGCCAUGCCAGGCAUGAGUUAAGUCAUGCAUCCCUACACUUAAAAGAAUAAACUAUAUUUUAACUACCUGGAGAAAGAAGCUGCAUCCCAGCCCAGAUCCA